GAUCAUGUUCUUGAGGAGAUGGUCUGGUUGUCGAAGGACUUUGAAUCAGAGAGGAAGUGGAAGUUGACUCUAGCAAAGAAGGUUGCUAUUCGAGCUAGCAAGGGAAUGCUUGAUCAGGCGACACGGGGAGAAAAGCGUGUUAAGGAAGAAGAGCAACGUCUGCGUAAAGUUGCACUCAAUAUUUCAAAGGACAUCAAAAAAUUUUGGUUGAAAA
rnacentral:misc_RNA from 1 species